ACCUCUACACCUAAGGAUGCACCUGCAGUCACCUCUACACCUAAGGACGCACCCAUGGUCACCUCUACACCUAAGGAUGCAUCCACAGUCACCUCUACACCCAAGGAUGCAUCUGCAGUCACCUCUACACCUAAGGAUGCAUCCGCAGUCACCUCUACACCUAAGGAUGCACCCACCGUCACCUCUACACCUAAGGAUGCAUCCACUGCACCUCUACACCUAAGGAUGCAUCCACAGUCACCUCUACACCUAAGGAUGCAUCCGCAGUCACCUCUACACCUAAGGAUGCACCCACAGUCACCUCUACACCUAAGGACGCACCCAUGGUCACCUCUACACCUAAGGACGCACCCAUGGUCACCUCUACACCUAAGGAUGCAUCCACUGCACCACUACACCUAAGGAUGCAUCCACAGUCACCUCUACACCUAAGGAUGCAUCCGCAGUCACCUCUACACCUAAGGAUGCAUCCGCGGUCACCUCUACACCUAAGGAUGCAUCCGCGGUCACCUCUACACCUAAGGAUGCAUCCGCGGUCACCUCUACACCUAAGGAUGCAUCCACGGUCACCUCUACACCUAAGGAUGCAUCCGCAGUCACCUCUACACCCAAGGAUGCAUCCGCAGUCACCUCUACACCUAAGGAUGCAUCCACAGUCACCUCUACACCCAAGGAUGCAUCCACAGUCACCUCUACACCUAAGGAUGCAUCCACUGCACCUCUACACCUAAGGAUGCAUCCACAGUCACCUCUACACCUAAGGCUCAGAAAA
rnacentral:lncRNA from 1 species